rnacentral:rRNA from 1 species
AGAGUUUGAUCAUGGCUCAGAUUGAACGCUGGCGGCAGGCCUAACACAUGCAAGUCGAGCGGUAGAGAGAAGCUUGCUUCUCUUGAGAGCGGCGGACGGGUGAGUAAUGCCUAGGAAUCUGCCUAGUGGUGGGGGAUAACGUUCGGAAACGGACGCUAAUACCGCAUACGUCCUACGGGAGAAAGCGGGGGAUCUUCGGACCUCGCGCCAUUAGAUGAGCCUAGGUCGGAUUAGCUAGUUGGUGAGGUAAUGGCUCACCAAGGCGACGAUCCGUAACUGGUCUGAGAGGAUGAUCGGUCACACUGGAACUGAGACACGGUCCAGACUCCUACGGGAGGCAGCAGUGGGGAAUAUUGGACAAUGGGCGAAAGCCUGAUCCAGCCAUGCCGCGUGUGUGAAGAAGGUCUUCGGAUUGUAAAGCACUUUAAGUUGGGAGGAAGGACAGUAACCUAAUACGUUAUUGUUUUGACGUUACCGACAGAAUAAGCACCGGCUAACUUCGUGCCAGCAGCCGCGGUAAUACGAAGGG